AAGUCCCACUGUGUAAGGUACAAGCUAUACCGCACAAAGCGAGUCUUGGGUGGAUAACAGAGAUGUUGACUGCUAAGCGUAGACAGCGAGACUGCAAGGCAUAACUGUAUAUAGCUUCGAUAUUAAAAUGAAAUCGGGAAGGCAGAAGUGCUCCUAUACACCGAAAGCAAUACGGAGGUAAUCGAUAAGAGCGAGAUUACCUCCGCUUCCCCGGAGUUU
rnacentral:ncRNA from 1 species